GACGAACGCUGGCGGCGUGCUUAACACAUGCAAGUCGAACGGAAAGGCCCUGCUUUUGUGGGGUGCUCGAGUGGCGAACGGGUGAGUAACACGUGAGUAACCUGCCCUUGACUUUGGGAUAACUUCAGGAAACUGGGGCUAAUACCGGAUAGGAGCUCCUGCUGCAUGGUGGGGGUUGGAAAGUUUCGGCGGUUGGGGAUGGACUCGCGGCUUAUCAGCUUGUUGGUGGGGUAGUGGCUUACCCAGGCUUUGACGGGUAGCCGGCCUGAGAGGGUGACCGGCCACAUUGGGACUGAGAUACGGCCCAGACUCCUACGGGAGGCAGCAGUGGGGAGUAUUGCACAAUGGGCGGAAGCCUGAUGCAGCAACGCCGCGUGCGGGAUGACGGCCUUCGGGUUGUAAACCGCUUUCGCCUGUGACGAAGCGUGAGUGACGGUAAUGGGUAAAGAAGCACCGGCUAACUACGUG
rnacentral:rRNA from 1 species